CAAGGCAUCCUGUUUACUUAUACCUGCAUUGCCAUUCAGUCGAAAGUGCUUGCACUGCAUUUGAUGACAGCAGCAGAGAAAGCCGACAGCUUUCUACUGACGAAAAACUUUGAAGAUUAUUGAAUUUCAGUUUGAAAGGGUCGCAACUGGAUUUCAGUAUUUUGUUAACACAGCUAGUGAAUUACGGAAAAUGCUGUGUGAAGAAAUGACCCCUGAACAACGUCACAAAAAGCUGACAUUAGAAUCAAGCUCCCCUGGAUGGUCAGAAUAAUUGUUUUCAAAAUGCUGCCUGAUGCACCGAGCUUCCCCAGCAUUCUGAGUGUUUGUUUCAAAUUGACUUCAUGGUUACUAUUCAUCUCUCCCUGUCACCCAGGGUCUACACCAAAUCAAUAGCUUUUGUGUUCAUCAGACGUAAUGUGGAGAAUGCUUGAAGACAGGAACUGAAACAGUUUCAUCAGCUCAAAACCCCUACCCCCAGCAGAGAAGAACGCAGUAUGGCCAAAAAGGAUAAUCCAGGAAAUUAUAGGAUACUGAAGGAAUAGAUUGAUGGGACUGGCCUUCGCAGGGAUCUUUGUUCAUGCUCUGUAGCCAUGGGUAAAGUCCAGAAGGGCAAUAGGGAUAAUCGAGGAAAUUAUAGGCUGGUGAGACUUACUUCAGCAAUAGGGAAAUUAUUGAGGAAGAUUCUUAGGGACAGGAUUUACUUGCUUUUGGAAAAAGGUUGACUUGUUAGGGAUCGACUGAGGGUAGUUGUGGAGGGAUUUUUUUUUCUAACUGGAGGUCUGUGACUAAUAGUAUUCCACAAGGAUCAGUGCUCGGACCUAUGUUGUUUGUAAUAUAUAUAAUUAAUUUGAAUAAAAGUGUCGAGCCUCUGAUUAGUAAGUUUGCAGACAACACAGAAAUUAUUUGGCAUUGUGGCUAGUGGAGAAGGUUGUCAAUAGAUACAAAGAAAGGGCGAAUGGUGUAUAAUCUGGCCAAGUAUGAGGUGAUGCAUUUUAGGAGGUCAAAUACAAGAGGAAAAUAUAAAAUAAAUAACAAGACCCUCAGGAGCCCAAAUAAACAGAGGGAUCUUGGGGUACAAGCCCAUAGCUCACUGAAAGUGGCAACACAAUUGGAAAACAUAGUAAAGAAAUCAUAUGGCAUUUUGAGCUUGCCUUUACUGGUCAGCACAUUGAGUCUCAGAGUUAGCAUGUCAUGUUGCAGCUGUAUAAAACUUCAGUUCGGCAAAUUUGGAGCAUUGUGUACAGUUGAGUCACCACACUAUAGGAUGGAUGUAGCGGCUUUACUGAAGGUGCAAAAAAAGGUCUACCAUGAUGUUGCCUGGAUUGGAGUAUAUUAGCUACAAGGAGAGUUUAAACAAACUUGGAUUGUUUUGGUUAGAGCACCAGAAGCUGAGGGUGCGACCUGGUAGAAGUCUGUAAAAUUAUGAGAGGCAUAUGUGGUGAGGAUAGUUGAAGUCUUUUUCCCAGGGUGGGAAUAUCAAAUAUUAUAGGGCAUGAGAUGGGUGUUCUGCUACUUAAAAAUAAGUGUUUUCUGAUUGAGGUGCUCUAUAGUGAGCUAUAGUCAGCUAUAAGUGAGUUUCAUUGCAACAUCCACAUUAUAAUGGCUUUCCAUUACAUUUCUAUUCUUUUGUUUACAGCUCUGUUGACGAAGCUAUUUUUCCUCUUCCUUCCCCUUCUCUCAAUAAAGACAGAAACAACUUAAUUUGACUCAAAGCAGUUUUAGAAGGUCUAAUUAACUGAAUAUAUAUUUUUUUAAUUUUGAUAUCAUCAGAAACUCAAAGUCUACCAUGGCAACCAUAAGGUGAGAUAGGUGUGCUAGGUGUCGAACAUAUGGCUAGGGGAGGUGGUAGAAUCAGGUACAACAGCAAUGUUUAAGGUUCUAUAUGAGACACACAUGAACAGAAGGGAAUAGAGAAAUACUGACCACGUGCAGGUAGAUAGAAUUAAUUUAGAAUGGUAUCAUGGUCAACACAGGCAUGGUGGGCUGAAUGGCCCGUUUCUAUGCAGUAUUGUUCUAUGUUCUAUCUGGGAUUUUCAAUAAUCUGCCUCCUCCAUUGGAAUAGAGACAUUUCCUUGGUGGAGACAUUAUGUCUGAUUAAUGUCAUUGGGUGGACUUUGAAAGUCAGUGUGAGACUCUCAGUAUCAUGGGACAAACAGUAGUAGAGUGCAAUUAACUGAAACAAUCACCAAUUUAUUUAAUCAUUCACAUUAAAAACUGAUAACAGAUACCACGCUGAAUGUACUUUGGGAGGAAUGGAGGGCUGCGAGUGUGGAUGGUGUGUUGGGAAAUCCUGCAACGGGUUUACCUUUCCCCUAUUCCCAGGCAGGAAGAGAGAGGGUCUUCAGACACACCAUUCAGCUUUCUUUAAAUAGAUUUCAUAAAGUACAUACCACAUACCUUAUUGAGUUCCUUCCCUAGACAGUUCCAAAACUGCCUUGGCAAAACUAGAUGACAGCAAUGGAGCUAGAAAAUCAGCCGGGAUACCAGCUGCCUCCAUACUGGUCCUCCCGGGUCCAUGAUAUUCAGCCCUUUAGUAAAAGUUUAAUAAAAGCCAUCUUCAGUAAGGCUGCAUAAACUCGGUUUCUUACACUCUAGGACCCAGGCUGGGUAGUUCUGCGACAGCUGGCUUACAAUGCAGAAUGAUGCCAAUACUGCAUACUCACUGGCUGGGGUUACCAUGAAAAUCCUGCCUUCAUCCCCUGGCCAGAGGCUUGGUGACUUUCAUGUUAAACACACCAUCAUUCGCCUCACCCUCUCUAAUGAGAGAGAGGGGCUGUGAUGACAUUUUACAGUCCAUGAUCGGGGCUUUCCCUCUCAGAAUGGGUGAAGUGGGCUGAGACAAAAGAGAAGCAGGAAAUGUUCUCACACUGAACAAUCAGGCACAAUAAUAAAUAUUUCCCAACCUCUUAUCACAAUAUGGCAUUCCAGCCCAUCACAGAAAAAAAUGACUUGUCUGAUUGCUGCAAAAUAAUAUUCAGGAACCAUUUUUCCAACACUACCAUCUUCAGUUUAAAAUGAAUCUCAUUACUCAGUACUAUUAAGUACAGACCCACUGCAGACUUGAUUUUAUAGAUUACAACUUCGAAUGACUUUUAAUGAUCAUACAUUAUGUGAUUUUACUAGUUUUUCUAUUAAUAGAAAUAGUCAAAGAUUAUCUUUCCUCAGUACGCAUAAUGCCACUC